rnacentral:lncRNA from 1 species
GUGACGUCGAUGUGACGGAGAUAUUUGUUCAGGUGAUGGGACUUGAGUGGGCCUUGGGCCAGACCUCCACCCCCAGGGACCACCCUUCUAGCACUGAAAGGCAAUAGUCUUCACACUGGCUGAAUCCUGUAUUUUCUCAAUCCUCCAAAUCCGACCAACUUCUCUAAAUUGUACUGCAAGGUUUUGGCAGCCAGAGCUCCCACUCCUUGCCACCAUCCCACCGCCACCACUGGAGGUGCUGAAGGCCAAGUACAAGCCAUCCGGGUGGAAACCUGUAUUUGAAGGUCUGCACCGCGGGGCAAAGGGCCAGCUUGUUCCCUCUGCAACUGGAUGAGCUGAAUUGGCAGCAGACAACCAGCGUUUCUCAGGAAGCUGUACCAACAAGAUGCAAAAGGGAGAGGUGGAGCAGAGGAGGGCAGUUCAUGAGCUGAUUGUGCUAAGCCCUGUCAAAUAAUCCUUUAGAAACCCGAUGGUAAUCAAUGCCACCCAAGGGCACCACAUGUGCCAAUAAAAACCUCUUGCAUUUUGGCUAAAUGUGGCUCGAGAUUAGCAUUGGGUGAGAAUAUCUGUUGUUUGCAGGCACUCCAGACUGCUGAAUUCCAAAGUGACUCUUUUGAUAUUGAUAAAUAAUGUGGCACACGAUUCCUCCCCCAUCCCAAUAGAAAUUGUGCAAAUCCUUAAUUAUGAGGGCACUUUCUCAAGGGCACAUUAGAAUAUCAGGCUAAAUUGAGUUGUUAUCUUCGCCUUUGCCAGGGCUUUCAAAAAACUGCACAGCAAGCUGCCCUUAGAAGUUUUCUCUUUUGUUUGCAAAUCAUCAGUUCAAUUUGGACUAAGCUUUCCAGGAAUUAAAAAGAAAGAAAAAGUGCAGAAAAAAUUACAUAGAGUGAGCCUUCUAAAGUAGGUUUUGUUUUUUUCUUUUUUUUCUUUUGGUGAACGGGUCACAAGAUUGCAAUUCUAAACAAUCUCACAAUUAAUUCUUGAGCUAUGCAGUCCAAUUAGAACAAACGCUUCCUUUCUGAUUUAAUUAGAGAUGAGGACACGCCUGUGAGCUUAUUUGUAUAAAAUACGUGCUCAUUAAACAAGGUUUGGAUCAGGUUCAGCUUGUUAGAAAUGCCAUGAAAAGGAGGCUGUCUCUCACUGUCUCUGGCUUCUUUAACCCCUUUAAUGCCGAGAAUGAGCUUCACAGGUGUGGCGAAUAUAAAGCGUCUCUUUGCUGAAACCUGGUGAACUUGAAAGAGGUGGUUUGUGACCAGCUUGACCAACAUGGCGAAACCUCAUCUCUACUAAAACUACAAAAUUAGCUGGGCAUGGUGGUGGGUGCCUGUAAUCCCAGCUACUUGGGAGGCUCAGGCAGGAGAAUCACUUGAACCGGGGAGUCGGAGGUUGCAAUGAGCCAAGAUCGCGCCAUUGCACUC